rnacentral:rRNA from 1 species
AUUGAACGCUGGCGGCAUGCCUUACACAUGCAAGUCGAACGGCAGCACGGGUGCUUGCACCUGGUGGCGAGUGGCGAACGGGUGAGUAAUAUAUCGGAACGUACCUUAUUGUGGGGGAUAACGCAGCGAAAGCUGUGCUAAUACCGCAUAAUCCCUAAGGGGGAAAGCGGGGGACCGUAAGGCCUCGCGCAAUUAGAGCGGCCGAUACCUGAUUAGCUAGUUGGUGAGGUAAAGACUCACCAAGGCAACGAUCAGUAGCUGGUCUGAGAGGACGAUCAGCCACACUGGGGCUGAGACACGGCCCAGACUCCUACGGGAGGCAGCAGUGGGGAAUUUUGGACAAUGGGGGCAACCCUGAUCCAGCAAUGCCGCGUGAGUGAAGAAGGCCUUCGGGUUGUAAAGCUCUUUUGUCAGGGAAGAAACAGCAGCUCUAACACAGUUUGCGAAUGACGGUACCUGAAGAAUAAGCACCGGCUAACUACGUGCCAGCAGCCGCCGUAA